UACGUAGGGUGCAGGCGUUAAUCGGAAUUACUGGGCGUAAAGCGUGCGCAGGCGGUUUCUUAAGUCAGAUGUGAAAGCCCCGGGCUUAACCUGGGAACUGCGUUUGAAACUGGCGGGCUUGAGUGUGGCAGAGGGGGGUGGAAUUCCGCGUGUAGCAGUGAAAUGCGUAGAGAUGCGGAGGAACACCGAUGGCGAAGGCAGCCCCCUGGGCCAACACUGACGCUCAGGCACGAAAGCGUGGGGAGCAAACAGG
rnacentral:rRNA from 1 species